UACGUAGGCAGCAAGCGUUGUUCGGAAUUACUGGGCGUAAAGAGUGUGUAGGCGGUGCUCCAAGUCUGGCCUGAAAGCCCCCGGCUCAACCGGGGAAGGUGGCUGGAAACUGGCGUUCUUGAGGGCGACAGAGGAGAGUGGAAUUCCUGGUGUAGCGGUGAAAUGCGUAGAUAUCAGGAGGAACACCCAUGGCGAAGGCAGCUCUCUGGGUCGGACCUGACGCUGAGGCGCGAAAGCGUGGGGAGCGAACGGG
rnacentral:rRNA from 1 species